rnacentral:rRNA from 1 species
CUGUUGUUAAGGAACUCGGCAAAAUGACCCCGUAACUUAGGGAUAAGGGGUGCCACCAUCAGGUGGCCGCAGAGAAUAGGCCCAAGCGACUGUUUACCAAAAACAUAGGGUUCUGCUAAGUCGCAAGACGAUGUAUAGGAGCUGACGCCUGCCCGGUGCUGGAAGGUUAAGGGGAUCUGUUAGAGCAAUCGAAGCAGUGAACUUAAGCCC